rnacentral:rRNA from 1 species
AUUGAACGCUGGCGGCAGGCCUAACACAUGCAAGUCGAGCGGCAGCGGGAAAGUAGCUUGCUACUUUUGCCGGCGAGCGGCGGACGGGUGAGUAAUGCCUGGGGAUCUGCCCAGUCGAGGGGGAUAACUACUGGAAACGGUAGCUAAUACCGCCUACGCCCUACGGGGGAAAGCAGGGGACCUUCGGGCCUUGCGCGAUUGGAUGAACCCAGGUGGGAUUAGCUAGUUGGUGAGGUAAUGGCUCACCAAGGCGACGAUCCCUAGCUGUUCUGAGAGGAUGAUCAGCCACACUGGGACUGAGACACGGCCCAGACUCC